UUUUCCUUCCCAGACUUCUGAUGUAUGUCAGGUCCCAAAGAAACCCUAGACAGCAGAGCUUCGGCUGCAUAUUUGUCCAUGACACCCCAGUAGCACGGAUUGUUACUGAUCUGAAGGAGGUCUGGAACAAGGCAGUGGACGUAGUCGAUCUGGGUGUGGAACUUAGGAGGUGCCUCCAACUGCAGGAUCUCCUCUUCCAUUUCCCACCUGGGCUUAUUCCUUUUUCUGGAGCUUGUGCACAGCGUUAUAAUUUCAUCCUCUGAAUCCAUGUCACUGUCUUCUAUGCUGUUGUUUGUGACCAAGUUCAUCAUAGAACCAGUUAUGUGACCACCUGUACACGAAGCACUGUUGGCAGUUAUGACACAAGGCUGGCCAUUGGUAUGGAUGGAAGCCCUGGAGAGUGUCGGCCACUACAAUUCUUUAUUGGAAAACACUGCCCCACCGCAUCUUGCAGUUUCUGUUUAAGGGAUCGGCCUAAAAAUCUAUGCCCACAGGAAUGAUCUAAGUCCAACUCAAUGGACGAACAGCUAAGCUGCCUUUCUUGGCUUCUUAGAGGAAUUUCAACAUUCUCAACAGUACCUAUGGCUUCAGAUUCAGAACAACUCUCACUCUUUUUGGACCAAGACAACUUCUUUCCACUCCACACAUAACCAUCCUUCCUGUCAGCACUUCGACUCCGACUUGUUUUAGGCCGUACAUCUACAUUUUUACUAUUGUUUUCAGCCAUUUUAAACAAAUUCUUUACAAUUUCCAGUGUUAUAAAUAUUGUGUUUUCAGCUUUUCUAAGAGGAAGUUUCUUCUGGGCACUUUCUGGACGGAUCUAAGAAAAAGAAAAAAGGAAGUCAUUAGCAACCUGCUCACCUAUGCUAGAUUGUACAUUAAGCCUUACCUGGACACAAGAUGAAAAGCCUAAUUGGUACAUGCAAGAGUAUUGGCCACGCUGUAAGGCAGCCCCAGGU
rnacentral:lncRNA from 1 species